UAGGUGAACAAGCUGUGCUAUAGAUGUGUC
rnacentral:piRNA from 1 species